GGCGCCAACACCAGUCCUUAGGUUCAGAGACAGGCUGGGCCCCCGGGGAGCCCUCUGGACGGUGCCCAAGAAAAGCAGUCCCAGGAGGAAAGUAAGCAAAUCCCCGCUCCACGGCAGGGUCACACCCAAACACAGUUCGACCCCGGCGGGCACGAGGCCGGCUACCGCCCUGGAAACUUCUGUGUCUGCUGCGGGAACUUCUGCCAGAAGUUUCCGAAGGUGUCCCCUGCCACAUUCACCUUCUCGAAGCAGAGAUCAGGAGCAGGCCGGGCUCCUGAGUGGGCAAGAAACAUUCAUCAGUACAGUAACCAGCUUGGGUGGAAGUCAGAAGCCUCCAAAGGGCAAAGCUAGUCCUUGAACUCACAGCAUCAAGGAACUGGAAGGAUCACGGUCCACUGCCUCUCCCUGAAGUCUACCCGGCCCAAGGGUAGCAUCUGGAGAUGCUGUUUUGAAGCCAAGAUUCUACGCUCAGCAGAGGUGGCGGGAGGAGGGCUGCUCACCCAGCUCACUUACCGGGACCCCACAGCUGCCGGCACUG